rnacentral:rRNA from 1 species
UAAUACAGAGGUCUCGAGCGUUAGUCGGAAUCACUGGGCUUAAAGCGUACGUAGGCGGAUAUGCAGGCGUCGUGUGAAAUCCCCGGGCUCAACCCGGGAACUGCACGGCGAACCGCAUGUCUUGAGAUCGGUAGGGGCGGUCGGAACGAUAGGUGGAGUGGUGAAAUGCGUUGAUAUCUAUCGGAACGCCGAAGGUGAAGACAGGCCGCUGGGCCGACUCUGACGCUGAGGUACGAAAGCGUGGGUAGCGAACGGGAUUAGAUACCCCGGUAGUCCACGCCGUAAACGAUGUGCACUAGAUCGAGGAGGUUCUGACACCAUUCUCGGUCGAAGCAAAAGUGGUAAGUGCACCGCCUGGGGAGUACGGUCGCAAGGCUA